rnacentral:rRNA from 1 species
UACAUGUGGGGCAAGCGUUGUUCGGAAUUACUGGGCCUAAAGGGUGCGUAGGUGGUUUGUUAAGUCACGGGUGAAAGUUUUCGGCCCAACCGGAAAAUUGCCCGUGAUACUGGCGAACUUGAGUGCGUGAGGGGUAACCGGAACGAGCAGUGUAGCGGUGAAAUGCGUAGAUAUUGCUCGGAAGGCCAGAGGCGAAGGCGGGUUACUGGUGCGCAACUGACACUGAGGCACGAAAGCGUGGGGAGCAAACAGG